rnacentral:rRNA from 1 species
CCUACGGGGGGCAGCAGUGGGGGAUAUUGCACAAUGGGGGAAACCCUGAUGCAGCGACGCCGCGUGGGGGAAGACGGUCCUCUGGAUUGUAAACCACUGUCCCCAGGGACGAAAAUGACGGUACCUGGGGAGGAAGCUCCGGCUAACUACGGGCAAGCAGCCGCGGUAAUACGUAGGGAGCGAGCGUUGUCCGGAAUUACUGGGUGUAAGGGGAGCGUGGGCGGGGAUGCAAGUUGGGUGUAAAACCUACCGGCUCAACUGGUAGUCGCACUCAAAACUGCAGCUCUUGAGUGAAGUAGAGGCAGGCGGAAUUCCUAGUGUAGCGGUGAAAUGCGUAGAUAUUAGGAGGAACACCAGUGGCGAAGGCGGCCUGCUGGGCUUUUACUGACGCUGAGGCUCGAAAGUGUGGGGAGCAAACAGGAUUAGAUACCCCGGUAGUC